rnacentral:rRNA from 1 species
UACGUAGGUGGCAAGCGUUGUCCGGAAUUAUUGGGCGUAAAGCGCGCGCAGGUGGUUUCUUAAGUCUGAUGUAAAAGCCCACGGCUCAACCGUGGAGGGUCAUUGGAAACUGGGGAACUUGAGUGCAGGAGAGAAGAGUGGAAUUCCACGUGUAGCGGUGAAAUGCGUAGAGAUGUGGAGGAACACCAGUGGCGAAGGCGACUCUUUGGCCUGUAACUGACACUGAGGCGCGAAAGCGUGGGGAGCAAACAGG